rnacentral:tRNA from 1 species
GCCUGGGUGGCUCAGUCGGUUGAGCGUCUGACUUCGGCUCAGGUCAUGAUCACGCGGUUCACGGGUUCGAGCCCCAUGUCGGGCU